rnacentral:rRNA from 1 species
UUAAGCAGGAUGUGAANUCCCCGGGCUCAACCUGGGAACUGCGUUNUGAACUGGGUGACUAGAGUGUGUCAGAGGGAGGUAGAAUUCCACGUGUAGCAGUGAAAUGCGUAGAGAUGUGGAGGAAUACCGAUGGCGAAGGCAGCCUCCUGGGAUAACACUGACGUUCAUGCUCGAAAGCGUGGGUAGCAAACAGGAUUAGAUACCCUGGUAGUCCACGCCCUAAACGAUGUCAAUUAGCUGUUGGGCAACUUGAUUGCUUAGUAGCGUAGCUAACGCGUGAAAUUGACCGCCUGGGGAAUACGGUCGCAAGAUUAAAACUCAAAGGAAUUGACGGGGACCCGCACAAGCGGUGGAUGAUGUGGAUUAAUUCGAUGCAACGCGAAGAACCUUACCUGGUCUUGACAUGUACGGAAUCCUCCAGAGACGGAGGAGUGCCUUCGGGAGCCGUAACACAGGUGCUGCAUGGCUGUCGUCAGCUCGUGUCGUGAGAUGUUGGGUUAAGUCCCGCAACGAGCGCAACCCUUGUCAUUAGUUGCCAUCAUUUAGUUGGGCACUCUAAUGAGACUGCCGGUGACAAGCCGGAGGAAGGUGGGGAUGACGUCAAGUCCUCAUGGCCCUUAUGACCAGGGCUUCACACGUCAUACAAUGGUCGGUACAGAGGGUAGCCAAGCCGCGAGGUGGAGCCAAUCUCACAAAACCGAUCGUAGUCCGGAUUGCACUCUGCAACUCGAGUGCAUGAAGUCGGAAUCGCUAGUAAUCGCAGGUCAGCAUACUGCGGUGAAUACGUUCCCGGGUCUUGUACACACCGCCCGUCACACCAUGGGAGUGGGGGAUACCAGAAGUAGGUAGGGUAACCGCAAGGAGCCC